CGGAAGCCGCCUCGGGUUUUCUAGCGGAGCGCCGGAUUAGGCAGUCCCCGCCCCGGUGCCCCUGAUUGGGUAGGGCCUCAGGCCCCGCCCCCUCAGACUCUUAGUGACAGGCACCUGGAAUCCUAGCUGUUUGGGAGACGAAGGCAGGUAGCCACUUGAGCCCAGGGGGCCCAGAACGUAGUGCGUUAUUGCACCACCGCACUUCAGCCUGGGUGACAGAGCAAGACCCUGUCUUGAAAAAAAAAAAAGUAAAAUAUAAUGAUGCACCCCACUGUAGUGGAUUUUUUUCUCUUUAGAUGGUGUUUGAGUCACUGAAUUUUUGGAAGGACUUCAAAUGUCAAGCAUUAUUCUCCAUGAACAGGGUGAUGAGGGGUCUGGCCAUCACCACCACCUGCCUGAGAGGUCCAAGAAUGACGGAACUCUAGAACCCCUACCAAAACUCAGCUCUGCAGAGCCAAAUAAACAAUUCAACCCAACAGGCCAACUCCCCUUCUCCUCCAACUCUGUCUGCAACUCUACAGCUGACUUGGCGCGUUCAAACUCCCUAUCAAGGGCAGCUGUGUUUACUCGUCUUGUGAAUGGUCAACCCAGGCAUCUGAUGUACACUCACAAUUAGCCAGUUUGGGGUCAUCCCCUUUGGCCACAAAGUCACUGGCCAUGUGCUGCACAUCCUCCUCAAGAUGACAUUCAUCGUCCAACGACCGGUGGCUGCUGCUCCCUUAGGCUCUCCCAACCACAGUUUCUCCCAAUUGCUCCAAAUAUUCCUCAGCCCAGCAGGUGGGGGAAAUGGCCAAGGGGUCUGUAACUUCAGAAAUGAAUGAUUGGGACCAGUCUGUCUCAUUAUAAUCCUGAAUUACAUCCACAGCAUCUCCAGCUGCAAGUCACUCUGGGCCCAGUUCUCAGACAAGGCCAAGUCGGCCACACCAGGGGCUCUCUGGGGAGCCUGGAGGAAGUUUGACUCUUCAGUCUGCUGCAUCUCAGCCAGGAGUUCAUCCAUCUUGAAGGUCUGAGGGGCACGGGAUACAAGGGUACACUGUGGUCCUGCAGGAAUUCACCCACCAAUUCAUCUUCAGAAGCUACUCCCAAAGGCUUGGAGACUGCCUCAGAGGCUGGGGCUCGGAGGCGGGGCAGGGGUCAGGCGUCAGGCCUUAGUGCCUUCUGCUGGGGUCGGCGGGUGUUUUCUCUUUUUACUGUAUUUAACUACAUUAAUCGUGCUCAGUAUUUCGGUUCACUAAUCUCAUCAGCUGAGACUAAUUUAAUAUUUAACCCGUAUGUUGUAUAUUAAGUAGGUUGAUUCUACUUCCAACUGUUUGUAUUUGCCUCUUUUUCAAAUAUGGCUUGUCAAGCUUGUAGUCAUUUGCUCUUUAACAUUUUUUUUCCUAUUUUUCUCAUUGUGUUGACUUAAACAUUUAAAAAAUAAGUCCUAUAACUGUGUGUAACAUACGUUUUAAUUUUCUAUUCACUUAUGGGAGACAUUACAUUUGAGACAUCUGCAGUUUAUGUCUUUGUUUUUUAAAUUUGCCUUAUGGCAAGUUGGGCCACCCACACGGAUCUGGCAACUCUGAUCGCCCAUAUCUAAGAGGAGCACUUAGUUCUCAGUUGAUUAUUUUCAUAAGUGGUUUCUUUGGUUUGCUUCUCUAGUUGGAAAAUUAUAUUUUACUUUCACUUUCAACGCUAUACAGUCCUUUAAAGAUUCUUGUAACUUUCUGAGAAUUUUAGCUUUCUACAUUUAAAAUGUGUAGAAUCUAGUUUUCCAACAAGCACAAAUGUCAAGUGUACACAUGAAAUACAUUUUACACAAUUUUUUGUAACAGACAAGAAAUCUCGUCACUUUAUUUAGAACAUAUCCUUUCCUCAAUAUACUGUAAAGUAAUAAUUUGUAGAGUUUAACUUUAAUACUAGGGAACUGAUUUUACAUUUUGCAUAAGUUUCUGAGAUAAAUGUACUCUACUUCAGAGAACAGUACCUAUAUAUGGCCAAAACUACUUAUUUUCUACACCACUGAGAAAAUAUUGGCAGAAUUGGCUAGGCGCGGUGGCUCACGCCUGUAAUCCCAACACUUUGGGAGGCCGAGGCGGGCGAAUCACGAGGUCAGGGGAUCGAGACCAUCCUGGCUAGUACGGUGAAACCCCGUCUCUACUAAAAAUACAAAAAAUUAGCUGGGCGUGGUGGCGGGCGCCUGUAGUCCCAGCUACUCAGGAGGCUGAGGCAGGAGAAUGGCGUGAACCCGGGAGGAGCUUGCAAGUGAGUGGAGAUCGUGCCACUGCACUCCAGCAACAGAGCGAGACUCCAUCUCAAAAAAAAAAAAAGAAAAUAUUGGCAGAAUUACUUACCUGAAUUCAGAUUUUUGGCUUCAAUCACCAUGCUUCCUCAUUAGCACUUCCCUGAAUCCAUAAAAGAAUCUCUUUGAGUCUUCCAUUUGAACCACAGAUUAAAAAAUUUCAAUGCAAUUUUCAUGUGGUGAGAUAGUACUUGCUGGUAACAUUUUAGUAUAUAAUUUCUAUUGUUAUUUACAAUGUUCAGAAAAUAUGACCUGCUGGGUUUCUGGGGUAAUAAACUCAAUGACGUAUUUUAGGCCUAAGACUUUACCACCUAAAAUACUUAUAUCUAAUAUUUGAAAAUAAUGCGCAUCCUUUGUUUACUGGCAAAAAUAGCUGCCGUUUGUUCCUAUGCGUAAUUACUAUAACUUCCUAACAAAGUUAACAUUAUUUAUGUUCAUUUAGUUGUGGGGCACCAAAAAGUUAAUUUCCAUAAUGAUCUUAAUGUUACCUAGUAUGAAUGAAAAUGUGACAGAGGCUAGGAGAUGGGGUGAAUAAAAAGAGGGGAAAUGUUCUUCAAAGUGUACCAAGUUUCACUUAGGAGAAAUAAGAUUUAGUGAUCAAUUGCACAGAAUGGUGACUACAAUGUGUAUUUCAAAACUGCUAUAAAGACUAUUUUCCAUGUUUUCACCACAAAAAUUAUAUGAGGUUAUAAACAUUAACUUGAUUUAAUCAUUUUACAACAUAAACAUAUAUCAAAAUAUUACACUGUAGACAGAUAUAUACAACUAUUAUUUUUCAAUUAAAAAUAGAAUUUUUUUAAAAUUUAAUUUUUCUUUUUCAAUGAAUCUUUGAUUUCUUCACUUUAAACUCUUAGGUAUUAAGCAUACAAAUGUUUAAUGGCUUAGAAUA
rnacentral:lncRNA from 10 species